CUUAGGGAGGACGAAAUCCUCUUCACCCCGUAUUAAAUCCGCUGCUGAAGUCUUCUCCAACGGCACUUCCGCGGAAUCUUGGGUUGGCACCAAGUCUUUGAGGGAAACGCCACAGCAAAAGCAGCAAUGUCAGUCCCCUUCAACAUCUACAGAAGAAAAUUCAUUUGCCCACAAGUCGGCAAAGGAGAGAGCGACGACUUCAAAUUCAGGAUGUCAGCACAAAGCAAGCCUUGCCUCCGCCUUCCACCAAUGACAUGCAAAUGUGUUGUCAUAUCUACAACAUCCAGAGCUGCCUCCUAUGAAAUGGAGGGGAAAAAAUUAAAAUCGCCACUUUCAAAACCAAAACCAUCAGUGUCCCCACUUUUUUGGCACCGAAUGAUGGGGUCAUCCCUCUUUUUGAAGAAGGGGAAACAUAUGUCAUAAAAGGCUAUCCAACAUCCAUUAAGUAUGGAAGAAAGUGCCUUGUUAUUGAGCCAAACACAAGAAGAUUUUUAGCCUUCCCACUCGAGCUAACAGAUGAGGCCGAGCAAAAGGCAAGAGACACCCUCACAUUUCCAACAACUCUGAUGACUGGGGAAGAGGAGGAUCUAUUUACGCGAGGAGGGUACAUUACUAUCAAGGGUAAAAUAGAAAAAUUGCAGGUGGCAAGAAUAAUCUCUGUGAAAGAUAAAACGUCCACAUCUUGGACCUAUCCCUCUGCUGUGGAGACAGGAUCUUACAAAUCUCAAUGUGGAGGGAUGAGGCCCUAGCAAAGCUGCACCUGGGAGAAGAAGAGGAGCUCUCCCACAUUAGGGCUGCUAUUCGACCACCUAUUUGGCCAGUUCAAACUCAAUUCUACCACCUAUACCCGUGCACAGGUAAACUAAGGCCCUGUUUACAUUAGAGCAUUUGCGUUUUAAAAUGGCAUUUUAAAAUGAAAACGAUCCUCGUUCAUACUGGCAUUUUAAAAAGAAUCUUCAUCCACACUAUACACGACCAUAAACGCAUGAAACAUGACCAAUCACGUACCUGGGCAUGCGCAUAAAAGUGUAAAAUAACUUAUUACUCUAAUAAUAGCUUGCCUUUGCGCAUUUAUGCAGCCACAAUCAAUUAGGCUGAGGUGGAGAGAGAUGACUGCAAUUGACGGGUAAUUAAAA